UACGUAGGGGGCAAGCGUUAUCCGGAUUCACUGGGUGUAAAGGGAGCGUAGACGGCCAUGCAAGCCUGGAGUGAAAGCCCGGGGCCCAACCCCGGGACUGCUCUGGGAACUGUGCGGCUGGAGUGCAGGAGGGGCAGGCGGAAUUCCUGGUGUAGCGGUGAAAUGCGUAGAUAUCAGGAGGAACACCGGUGGCGAAGGCGGCCUGCUGGACUGCAACUGACGUUGAGGCCCGAAAGCGUGGGGAGCAAACAGG
rnacentral:rRNA from 1 species